GAUUGGUAUGGCAUGUUGUGAUCAUAAUUAAAUCAGUAUAAAGGCUUAGGUAAAGAGUAAUGAUGUGGGUUGCUGAGAUUUCUGCUGGUGUUUGAAGGUCACAAGACUACAGAGAUGUAAAGCACAAAGCAGUUACCCCUGCCAGUCUCUCAGGAGAUGAACCAUUAGUUGUAGUUAUUACCCGCCUCUUUGGAUCAUUUCCUGGCAAUUUGAAGGUGUUGUUAUGGCAAAGA
rnacentral:lncRNA from 1 species